rnacentral:tRNA from 1 species
CACUAAAAAGCUAAUAUAAAAGCAUUAACCUUUUAAGUUAAAGAUUGAGAGUAUUAAUCUCUCUUUAGUGA